rnacentral:lncRNA from 1 species
CAAUUGUUUACUAGUCAUUUCUGAGCUGUCCUCUGUUAAAGCGUCUUUAGCUGUGGGAUUCUCCAUUUCCCCAAGUGAUUCAGUUUCUACCAUUUCAAAGGUCUUGUCCUUGUUGUCCUCCAUUCCUGCCAUUUCACUGAUAUGUGUUUAAAUGAUUCUCAAUUCACAGUAUAAUAUCUCAAACUGCAAAAUAUUGCGACCCAAGAAAUCAGAUAGGCACUGAAUAAUAUCUUAAGGCAGAUAAAUUCCAAAUCACAGCUUUUAUGUGUGACCCAAUACAACCAAUAGUGCAGCUUUUAAUGAAAGCUACUACUGCAGCUUUU